CCUACGGGUGGCAGCAGUGGGGAAUAUUGGACAAUGGGCGAAAGCCUGAUCCAGCCAUGCCGCGUGUGUGAAGAAGGCCUUCGGGUUGUAAAGCACUUUCAGUGGGGAAGAAAGCCUUGGGGCUAAUACCCUCGAGGAAGGACAUCACCCACAGAAGAAGCACCGGCUACCUCCGUGCCAGCAGCCGCGGUAAUACGGAGGGUGCGAGCGUUAAUCGGAAUUACUGGGCGUAAAGCGCGCGUAGGCGGUCUGAUAAGCCGGUUGUGAAAGCCCCGGGCUCAACCUGGGAACGGCAUCCGGAACUGUCAGGCUAGAGUGCAGGAGAGGAAGGUAGAAUUCCCGGUGUAGCGGUGAAAUGCGUAGAGAUCGGGAGGAAUACCAGUGGCGAAGGCGGCCUUCUGGACUGACACUGACGCUGAGGUGCGAAAGCGUGGGUAGCAAACAGGAUUAGAUACCCCAGUAGUC
rnacentral:rRNA from 1 species